UUUAUGGGCUUUCACCAAUUACUACACUUCUUUCACCCUGCAAAGAACUCCUUAAUCAGAGCUUACAUUGCUUGGGACAUUGUCGUGAUGAAUAAAACAUUUAGUAAGUCCACAAAUUGUGCUGCUGGUAGAAGCAAUGUAGGAAGGAAGGCAAAUAUAAAUGUGGGACAUACAUCUAUUCUCGUGAGGAUGAAUCAUUAGCCACCCCCCACACAGUGGAAGUAGUUCAGUGUAAUAAUCCUAACCAGUUGGUUCUUGUGGGUCCAUCCUGAGAAUUUAGCUUUUGUCUUUGUUGUUGGCAGUGUGAGUAAUUAGCAACAG
rnacentral:lncRNA from 1 species